GGUGAACGCUGGCGGCGUGCUUAAGACAUGCAGGUCGAACGGCAGUCUUCGGACUGUAGUGGCGCACGGGUGAGUAACGCGUAACUGACCUACCCCAAAGUCGCGGAUAACGAUUCGAAAGAAUCGCUAAUACGUGAUGUGCUGUCAGAUUGUGUUCUGCCAGUAAAGAUUGAUUGCUUUGGGAUGGGGUUGCGUUCCAUCAGCUAGUUGGUGGGGUAAAGGCCCACCAAGGCGACGACGGAUAGCCGGCCUGAGAGGGUGGCCGGCCACAGGGGCACUGAGACACGGGUCCCACUCCUACGGGAGGCGGCAGUUAGGAAUCUUCCACAAUGGGCGAAAGCCUGAUGGAGCGACGCCGCGUGAGGGAUGAAGGUCUUCGGAUCGUAAACCUCUGAAUCAGGGACGAAAGACACUUCGGUGGGAUGACGGUACCUGAGUAAUAGCACCGGCUAACUCCGUGCCAGCAGCCGCCGUAAAAC
rnacentral:rRNA from 1 species